rnacentral:rRNA from 1 species
CCGCUCUCGCAGGUAGCUCGCGUUGGCGAAGAAGAUGGGCGCGUCGACCUGCAGCACCAGCACUCCGGGCACGCUCUCCGCCAUGGCGUACUGGUCCAUCCUUCUGUACAUGGUCGAGUUGGGCAUCUUGCCGAGCGCCGUCGUCCUCGGCCGCGCCACGAACAGCAGGAUCCGGACAACCGAUAUCCCGACCUGAAAGACACACACAAUUCCGAUCCCGAUGUUGUCCAAGACGACGCCGAGGCAGGCGCCGAGGCAGGCGCAGAAGUCGAGCUUGUCCACCUUCCACAGGCGAACGGCGGCGGGGAAGUCAAAAACGCCCAGCAUGGCCGAGAUGAUGAUGGCCGACAGCACCACCAGCGGGGUGUAGUGGAACAGCGGCGUCAGGAAGAGGAGCGUCACGGCCACCGCCACCGCCAUCACCGCGUUGGACAUGGCGGUCUUGCAGCCGGCGUUGACGUUCACGGCGGAGCGCGAGAA